UAUGUCAAUUAUAUCACUCAGAAUCAUAUGUUUAUUUUUUUUUAUAAUAAUGUUUUUUCGUAAGAGAACAAUUAUGAAUAACGGUGAUAGUGACAAUUAUGAAUGUGAUAGUUACUGAAUUAGUUAAAUUAUUACAACUGUUUAAUAAUAUAUGUGUAAAAUCGGUGUUGCAGCGCAGUUGUAAUAGAUUCAUGAUAAUGUUGUUGUAAUGUAAGAACCAGAGCCCAGAGUUCAUAGGUGUAAACAAAAUGUGAAUAUGAGUCAUUAAUGUUUUAAACAGCAAUCAGUAUGUACGUAUAGCGUUCUUAAUCAGGUGCUCUGAUCUAAUUUUAUAGUUUUUGAUGAAAAGUAUUAUCAGAUGUGUGUGUGGGGAACUCUACAUAGGUACUUCCUGUACAACGCCGAUUUUAUUGUUACUUAAUCUUGUUAAUAACUGAAUGGUGAAGUUUUAUCAUCAUGGCAUAUGCAAACCAGCCGCCUGCACCCCAAACAAUGGGCUCUGCAAAUACAGUAUUUAUAAUGGAGGCGCGGUUUGAUUUAUCAUACCUGACGACUCCACCAGGCAUCAUUAAAUGUGUUAUCAUUGUGUUCAGCCUGAUCGGUUUCAUCUGCGUCCAAUCGUCAGCGUUUUGGUCGAAUGGACGAGGCGUGUACUUCAACUUGGUGGCCGCGCUGGCGGUGAUCUACUCUGGUGGGAUGCUUCUACUGUACCUGUACCACUUGGUGGAGAAAUACCACAAUAUCAAGUGGCUGAAGAUAGAAAUGAUCGUAUCGAUCGCCUUCGUGUUUCUCUACCUGAUUGCGUCCACCAUCGCCGUAGCGUUUGGAUCGGCGGCGUUCUCAGCGGCUGGGUUCUUCGGCUACUUGUCUAUGGUACUAUACGGGUUCGACGCAUUCCUAAAGGCGAAAGCGCUUAAAGCAGGCCAGUUGGCGCAAGGUCACCGCACGGUCAAUAAGCAGACUCAUGUGGUGACGCCGCCCGCGCUGCCAUAGCAGGACGCCGAUGGUCGGUGGUAGACGACGGUGACGGUGGACAGUGGACAGUGACCGUCGGUCGGCGGCUGUGCUAUACUCUAGGUGAAAUGGUAUGGUAGCCCCCCGCCUGCGCCAACGGGAUACGCUGGCGGAGCACCAGUGAAGGGUGAUAGAUGAGAAUGAAAACAGGCCAGUCAGCACAUCAUGAUGAAUUCAUCAGGAAUUAACCAUGAUAGUUUCCAGGGGGAACCGCGAGGAGGUCGACCUGGUUGGGUAUAUUGCUAGCAAUGGGAUUCUCAGUCUCCAUUACUAACAAUCCCUUUCCGCCCUUUUCUUCACAGUUUCAAACACUAUUUAUAAUUAUUUAUCAAGGCGUUUAUUUAGUGAAACUUAAAAAUCUAUUUAAUAAAUUAUCUUUGUGAUACUUGUAGUUUAUUAAGAAAAUAAUGUAAAUGUAAAUAUAUAUUUUAACCCAUUCAAUACGGCGGCCAUAUUGAGAUCCCUAUGCAGUAUACGGCUUAGUUUUUCAUAAACGGCCGUCACUGACGGCACAACUUUUUCUACGUAUAUGGCUUAGUUAAUUGUUAGGAGUGACUGCCAGUAAAUAACGGGCUUCCACAAGUGACUGGAACGGUCUAAAGCACGUUUGAAACUAAAGGAAACGGAGCGCUCGCCGUCAUUGGGUAAGGGUGGGGAGAGCGCCUCGAGGCGCUUGCCGUCACAACGUAUAACAUUGGACAGCGCCCUGACGCGCUCUCCGUAUUGAAUGGGUUAAGCUGCUAAGUAAAUAUUUAUUGGUAUCAAACCGUCCAUGCACUUUUUUUCUCACGUUGUGUCAAAUAUGAAGUAGUCGAGUGGAGUCCACUGCCUGUAAACACCGUGUUUCCCUUAUCAAAAGGUACUUACACAAUUAUAUUUCUAUUUGCACACUUAAUUUUGAAUUUAUUAAUACAUAUUUUCAUGGAAAAUACGUUAUUAUUAACUUGUAGAUAUAUGUGCCCUCAUGUUUACAUACAGCCGGGCUCGAAUCGUGCAUGAUAAAGCUGUAUCACACGGAUAUUGUGGCCUUGACCAAAUUUUAUGGAAAAAAUAAUCUUAUACGCAUAUAGGUACUAUAUUUGAUACAUUUAUAUCUUUUUUUUUUAUAAAAUACAUUUUCUCUAAUUGCUCAGCAGCCAGAUAAUGACAACUUUAAUGACAAAAUAAAUAUAUUUUUAAAAUGUACAAAAUUUGUAAGUUUGUAAAAUAAAACUCAAGAAUUGAGUAAUUUUCAAAUAAAUAAAUAAAACCGCUCAGGAAUUGUGCUGAAAGCUACAAAAUUGGUAUCUGCAAUUAAUAAAAUCUUGUAAUUUUGAUUAAUAUGGUUUAACGAGUUUUAACACAAACUUUUUAAUGGUAAACAAUUGCAAUGGAGAUAAAUCGAGAUAGUGGAUGCAUGUGGUCCAGGACUGUUCCUUAUGGCAGUCUAUGGGGAAAGCCAACCAGCAGUGGGCAGUAACAGCUGAUUUGACGAUGAAGCAACAGCAGUCGUUUCUGCGGUGUCAUUCAUUGCCUCUAAAACUAUCAGUUCGACGUUAUAGCAAAAUCAUUGAGAAGUAUCAGUAAACAGGAUUUAACUAAAACUUGUUUUAAUUUAGUUCCAGCACGGAUAAUACUGUUUUAUUAGCUCUAGACAAUUAGCAACUUUCGUUUAACUGGCAAAUUAAUAUUUCAGUUUUAGAGAUAAGUACAGGGAAUGACACCUCAUAGUCGACGCCAUUGCAAGGAUUUUAGCAAAAUUUUGUGUGUACGCUACCUAAAAAUGGCGGAUUAAUUGUGCUGCGAUAUUGUCUUAACGUAUUCGCUGACUUAUGCUCAGAGUUUAAUGCAAUUGUACAUAUAAUUUGGUAACUUCACAAUUUGUAUUAUUUCACUAUUUAGAACUGUAAGUGAUAAUAUUUAUGAAAUAUUUGAAGCGUCUUCAAAUGUCUUCGCAUCACAAUUGUGAUAUAUUUAUGUAUGAGUAAUGAAUUUUGAAAUUAAUGUUGUCCUUUCAAUGUUUAUUGUUGUUUACAAAUAAAACGCUUUAAUCGUG